rnacentral:rRNA from 1 species
UGGGCUACCCAUGGGCGCAGCCUGAUGCAGCCAUGCCGCGUGAGUGAUGAAGGCCUUCGGGUUGUAAAGCUCUUUCGUUGGGACGAAGCUCUCCGGGCUAAUACCCUACACUUUUGACGUUUCCCUGCAAACAACCCCGGGCUUACUUCGUGCCCGCGCCCUGUUUAAUACUUAAUGGGGCUAACGUUUUCCGAAAUUAUUGGGCUUAUCGCGCGUGUAGGCGGUUGGCUAAUUCGGAUGUGAAACCCCCGGACUCAACCUGGGAACUGCAUUAAAAACUGGUGGACUUGAUUGUGGAAAAGGGAGGUGGAAUUCCCUUUGUAAGGGUGAAAUUGGUGAAAGUGGGGAGGAGGCCCGGUGCCGAAGGUGACCUCCUGAACCGUGGCGGACCCUAAGGAUU